rnacentral:rRNA from 1 species
GUGCCAGCAGCCGCGGUAAAACGUAGGAGCCAAGCGUUAUCCGAAUUUACUGGGCGUAAAGCGCGUGCAGGCGGUUGGGUAAGUGGGCUGUGAAAUCUCCCGGCUCAACUGGGAGGGGACGGUCCCGACUGCCCGACUGGAGGCAGGUAGAGGGAGGUGGAAUUCCCGGUGUAGUGGUGAAAUGCGUAGAUAUCGGGAGGAACACCAGUGGCGAAGGCGGCCUCCUGGACCUGACCUGACGCUCAGACGCGACAGCUAGGGGAGCGAACGGGAUUAGAUACCCUUGUAGUCC